rnacentral:rRNA from 1 species
CCAAUAGCGUAUAUUAAAGUUGUUGCAGUUAAAAAGCUCGUAGUUGAAUUUUAGGCCUGACCGGACGGUCCGUCUCUGGCGAGUACUGUUCUGUUGUCGGGUCUAUCCUUCUGGUGAGCCGGUAUGCCCUUUAUUGGGUGUGUCGGGGAACCAGGACCAUUACCUUGAAAAAAUUAGAGUGUUUAAAGCGGGCUUUUGCUUGAAUAGAUUAGCAUGGAAUAAUAGAAUAGGACGUUGGUUCUAUUUUGUUGGUCUAGGACCACCGUAAUGAUUAAUAGGGAUAGUUGGGGGCAUUAGUAUUCAAUUGUCAGAGGUGAAAUUCUUGGAUUUAUUGAAGACUAACUACUGCGAAAGCAUUUGCCAAGGAUGUUUUCAUUAAUCAAGAGCGAAAGUUAGGGGAUCGAAGACGAUCAGAUACCGUCGUAGUCUUAACCAUAAACUAUGCCGACUAGGAAUCGGGCGACGUUAUUUUCAUGACUCGCUCGGCGCCUUAUG